rnacentral:rRNA from 1 species
AUUGAACGCUGGCGGCAUGCCUUACACAUGCAAGUCGAACGGUAACGGGCCUUCGGGUGCCGACGAGUGGCGAACGGGUGAGUAAUACAUCGGAACGUGCCCGAUCGUGGGGGAUAACGAGGCGAAAGCUUUGCUAAUACCGCAUACGAUCUACGGAUGAAAGCAGGGGACCGCAAGGCCUUGCGCGGACGGAGCGGCCGAUGGCAGAUUAGGUAGUUGGUGGGAUAAAAGCUUACCAAGCCGACGAUCUGUAGCUGGUCUGAGAGGAUGAUCAGCCACACUGGGACUGAGACACGGCCCAGACUCCUACGGGAGGCAGCAGUGGGGAAUUUUGGACAAAGGGCGUAAGCCUGAUCCAGCCAUGCCGCGUGCAGGAUGAAGGCCUUCGGGUUGUAAACUGCUUUUGUACGGAACGAAAAGCCUUCUUUUAAUACAGGAGGGUCAUGACGGUACCGUAAGAAUAAGCACCGGCUAACUACGUG